rnacentral:rRNA from 1 species
AGCGAACGCUGGCGGCAGGCUUAACACAUGCAAGUCGAGCGGGCACUUUCGGGUGUCAGCGGCGGACGGGUGAGUAACGCGUGGGAACGUGCCCUCUGGUUCGGAAUAACUCAGGGAAACUUGAGCUAAUACCGGAUACGCCCUUUUGGGGAAAGGCUUGCUGCCGGAGGAUCGGCCCGCGUCUGAUUAGCUAGUUGGUGAGGUAACGGCUCACCAAGGCGACGAUCAGUAGCUGGUCUGAGAGGAUGAUCAGCCACACUGGGACUGAGACACGGCCCAGACUCCUACGGGAGGCAGCAGUGGGGAAUAUUGGACAAUGGGCGCAAGCCUGAUCCAGCCAUGCCGCGUGAGUGAUGAAGGCCUUAGGGUUGUAAAGCUCUUUUAUCCGGGACGAUAAUGACGGUACCGGAGGAGUAAGCCCCGGCUAACUUCGUG